rnacentral:rRNA from 1 species
UACGGAGGGAGCUAGCGUUAUUCGGAAUUACUGGGCGUAAAGCGCACGUAGGCGGCUUUGCAAGUUAGAGGUGAAAGCCUGGAGCUCAACUCCAGAACUGCCUUUAAAACUGCAUCGCUUGAAUCCAGGAGAGGUGAGUGGAAUUCCGAGUGUAGAGGUGAAAUUCGUAGAUAUUCGGAAGAACACCGGUGGCGAAGGCGGCUCACUGGCUCGUAUCUGACGCUCAGGCGCGAUAGCGUGGGGAUCAAACAGG